rnacentral:snRNA from 1 species
AUACUUACCUGGCAGGGGAGAUACCAUGAUCACAGAGAUGGUUUCCCAGGGUGAGGCUUAUCCAUUGCAUUCCAGAUGUGCUGACCCCUGCGAUUUNNNNN